GCCAGGCGCGGUGGCCCAAGCCUGUAAUCCCAGCACUUUGGGAGGCCGAGACGGGCGGAUCAUGAGAUCAGGAGAUAGAGACCAUCCUGGCCAACGUGGGGAAACCCCACCUCUAUUAAAAANNNNNNNNNNUUUUUAAUAGAGGUGGGGUUUCCCCACGUUGGCCAGGAUGGUCUCUAUCUCCUGAUCUCAUGAUCCGCCCGUCUCGG
rnacentral:SRP_RNA from 1 species